UUGACCUCGGAUCAAGUAGGGAUACCCGCUGAACUUAAGCAUAUCAAUAA
rnacentral:rRNA from 3 species